UCUCUCGACCUACGUGAACCUGCAGCAACGACGUAAAGUGGUACAAGUAAUCUCUCUGUGUUUUGUGCCUACAAGGUUACUCUCAAAUGAAUACUAGAGCUAAAGGAGCAUCUGUGUCAUCUCAGUGCACAGGAAAGUCUGGUGGAGAUUUUUCCCGUCAAAUUCAUACAUUAAAUAUGGAAGUUCAAAAUUGUAAUAAAGAAGUGCAAUUAUUAAAGGCGGAGUUUGCUGAGAUGAAGCUAGAAGUGAAGGCAAUGCUUAAAGAAAUAAAACAUUUUAUUAAUAUUGUAUCAGACUUAAA